CACAGUUCUGUACAAUGGUUACAAUACGACUAAUGUUCCUAGGUUUGAUUCCGGUUUGUCUUGCAGAUGGAUUCAACUAUUUAUCUGAGGGUGAUUAUGGUGGGGCUUUGGUGUAUUA